rnacentral:rRNA from 1 species
AUGGGCUUCCGGGAUAUGGCACUCUUUAACCAGGCGAUGCUCGGCAAACAGGGAUGGCGCCUUCUGACUGACCCUGGAUCACUUUGUGCGCAGGUCUUAAAGGGGAGAUAUUUUCCAUUUACUGAUUUUUGGAAUGCUACUGCUCCCGGCUCGGCCUCGGCCACUUGGCGGGCCAUCCCGCAUGGUAGGGAUCUGCUCAAGAAGGGUGUGCAAUGGGGGAUUGGGGAUGGGAGAAAUACACAUAUCCUCAAAGAUCACUGGAUCCCUUCUACUCCUCCCGCUUUGCUGCAGCCCCUUUAUCCAAUUCCGGCUUCUGCAGCUGUACACUGUUUGAUUGAUGAGGAUAAUGGUUGCUGGAAUGAGGAAUCUGUGAGGGCUUUCUUCUCCAAUGGAGUGGCGAAUGACAUACUUCAAAUCCCUAUCAACCUGGAGGGGGGAUCGGAUUUUGCCCGGUGGCCUUUCACAAGGUUUGGUGAGUACUCUGUCCGGUCUGCUUACAACAUGGCUCGGACGGCUCGUUUCUUGUCUGAACGAAGCGCUGGAGGCAGGGGCCUCCCUUCGGACGGGUCUAUGGAAGAGCGUCUGUGGAAGAAGCUGUGGAAAGUUCAGGCCCCAAACAAGAUGAAAAUUGUGCUCUGGAGGCUUGCUCAUCACUGCCUUCCUUCCGGCGAGCAAUUGCAGCGGCGUCAGGUCCCCACGAGGAUAGAUUGCUUCUUCUGUGGUCGUCAGGAAGGUAUCGAACACGCGCUUCUCUUCUGUAGUCAUGCCCGAGCAAUCUGGGAUGAGAUCAAAGUGGCGUUCGGGAUCAAGUUAUGUCACUCGUCUUUCACCUCUCCCAAGCAGUGGCUCUUCAACCUGCUGGAGCGUGGCUCUGAUAGAGACUUAUCCAUCAUUACAGUCACUUUGUGGCAUACUUGGGAAGCCAGAAACUCUGCCCGGAAUGAGCCUGAAGCUCCUUCCCCCAAACGAACAGCGGCAAGGGUGCGUGGUUACAUUGAUAUGAUUUUUAUGCAUCUUUUCAAAUCUGCAGUUGCUGGUUCCCAGGUGACUCCGGCGUCUUGCUCCAGCUGGUCUCCUCCUCCACAUGGAUUGCUGCUCCUUUCUGCUGAUGCUGCGGUCAGCUUGGAGCACAACGCAUCGGCUGCGGGCGUUGUGGUGCAGGACCACACCGGCCGGUGUGUGGCAGCGGCCUCUGAACCUCUACCGGGAGUCUCGUCCACGGAGUUGGCUGAGGCGCUCGCUCUUCGCCGUGCUGCAGCUUUGGCUCGUCAGAAGAACUACAUGCAUGUCAUCUUCCAGUCUGACUGCCUCUCGGUGAUUCAAAGGCUGCUCUCGUCGACCCGUGACCGAUCCGUGGUGGGCUCGAUCGUUUCUGACAUCAGGACGGCCUGUGGUGCUCUGUCGUCUGUUUCUUUCAAGCAUGUUCAUCGGCACUGUAAUAUUUUAGCUCAUGUCUUAGCUAGAUCUAGUUUGAACUCUGUGAAUCUUUGUUUUUAUGACUCUGCUCCGGUUUGUAUCCGGGAGACUCUCUGUAAUGUGUUUACAUGA